UGAAACAACCGGGGAGCAAUUCAGAGUAUCUGUGUCUUGCUCAUGGACACAACAUCAGUGGGUUUGGGUGGGGUCUUGAACCUACUGUUGUUUUCCCCAUGGUGGCAGUCCAGCUAAACCAUUGGUCCUGGCCCAUUAAUUUGGGUCGAUGUGAAAAGUUGAAGUCACCAAAAACAUUGUCAGGCAAUUAGUGUUAGGAUUAAAGAAAAAAAAAUCUUUGAUGAAAAGCCUUGGCAAAAAUUUACAGUUUCAUAUUUUCUUUCUCUCUUUCUUGGUCCUCUUGCACUUGACAACGUCUGGGUCCUCACCUCACCUCUUGGGACGCCCACCUCACAUCUCAAGUCCCAUCCUGCAGACCUCAACCGCCACCGUCAGAUGAAAAUGGACUGAAAGCCUUUACCUGAGGGGGAAACCAAAUUCCUCCACUGAACCCUGAAAGAAAGCCAGUGUGGUAGAUGCCAGGUUGUUGGAAGUUGCACCAAGACACAUUAUCUGCACAACACAGCAAAAGUACAGAAGUAAAAUACAUAUCUUAUUAAACCAUACAUGUGCAUUUAUGGACGUUACAGCACCUUUC